UGGUGGAGUGAUUUGUCUGGUUAAUUCCGAUAACGAACGAGACCUUAACCUGCUAAAUAGUCAUACUAACUCUGGUUGGUACUGACUUCUUAGAGGGACUGACUACGUUUAGUGGUCGGAAGUUUGAGGCAAUAACA
rnacentral:rRNA from 1 species